AUUGAACGCUGGCGGCAUGCCUUACACAUGCAAGUCGAACGGCAGCACGGGUGCUUGCACCUGGUGGCGAGUGGCGAACGGGUGAGUAAUACAUCGGAACAUGUCCUGUAGUGGGGGAUAGCCCGGCGAAAGCCGGAUUAAUACCGCAUACGAUCUACGGAUGAAAGCGGGGGACCUUCGGGCCUCGCGCUAUAGGGUUGGCCGAUGGCGGAUUAGCUAGUUGGUGGGGUAAAGGCCUACCAAGGCGACGAUCAGUAGCUGGUCUGAGAGGGCGACCAGCCACACUGGAACUGAGACACGGCCCAGACUCCUACGGGAGGCAGCAGUGGGGAAUGUUGGACAAUGGGCGAAAGCCUGAUCCAGCAAUGCCGCGUGUGUGAAGAAGGCCUUCGGGUUGUAAAGCACUUUUGUCCGGAAAGAAAUCCUUGGCCCUAAUACGGUCGGGGGAUGACGGUACCGGAAGAAUAAGCACCGGCUAACUACGUG
rnacentral:rRNA from 1 species